rnacentral:rRNA from 1 species
ACGGACUUCGGUCUGGUGGCGAGUGGCGAACGGGUGAGUAAUGUAUCGGAACGUACCUUUCAGUGGGGGAUAACGUAGCGAAAGUUACGCUAAUACCGCAUAUUCUGUGAGCAGGAAAGCAGGGGAUCGAAAGACCUUGCGCUGAUUGAGCGGCCGAUAUCAGAUUAGCUAGUUGGUGGGGUAAAGGCCUACCAAGGCGACGAUCUGUAGCGGGUCUGAGAGGAUGAUCCGCCACACUGGAACUGAGACACGGUCCAGACUCCUACGGGAGGCAGCAGUGGGGAAUUUUGGACAAUGGGGGCAACCCUGAUCCAGCCAUGCCGCGUGAGUGAAGAAGGCCUCCGGGUUGUAAAGCUCUUUCGGCCGGGAAGAAAUCGCAUAGGCUAAUACCCUGUGUGGAUGACGGUACCGGAAUAAGAAGCACCGGCUAACUACGUGCCAGCAGCCGCGGUAAUACGUAGGGUGCGAGCGUUAAUCGGAAUUACUGGGCGUAAAGCGUGCGCAGGCGGUUUCGUAAGACAGAGGUGAAAUCCCCGGGCUCAACCUGGGAACUGCCUUUGUGACUGCGAGGCUAGAGUAC